rnacentral:rRNA from 1 species
GAUGAACGCUAGCGGCAGGCUUAAUACAUGCAAGUCGAGGGGCAACAGGGGUAGCAAUAUCUGCUGGCGACCGGCAAACGGGUGCGGAACACGUACAGAACCUUCCUUUAAGCGGGGGAUAGCCCAUAGAAAUGUGGAUUAAUACCCCAUAGUAAUAUUUGGUGGCAUCAUUAGAUAUUUAAAGAUUUAUCACUUAAAGAUGGCUGUGCGGCUGAUUAGGUAGUUGGUCGGGGUAACGGCCACCAAGCCAUCGAUCAGUAACUGGUGUGAGAGCACGACCAGUCACACGGGCACUGAGACACGGGCCCGACUCCUACGGGAGGCAGCAGUAAGGAAUAUUGGUCAAUGGACGCAAGUCUGAACCAGCCAUGCCGCGUGAAGGAUGAAGGCCC